rnacentral:rRNA from 4 species
UGGACCUCAGAUCAGGCAAGAUCACCCGCUGAGUUUAAGCAUAUCACUAAGCGGAGGAAAAGAAACUAACGAGGAUUUCCUUAGUAACGGCGAGCGAACCG